UACGUAGGGUGCAGGCGUUAAUCGGAAUUACUGGGCGUAAAGCGUGCGCAGGCGGUCUUUUAAGUCAGAUGUGAAAUCCCCGGGUUUAACCUGGGAACUGCGUUUGAAACUGGAAGGCUAGAGUGUGGCAGAGGGGGGUGGAAUUCCACGUGUAGCAGUGAAAUGCGUAGAUAUGUGGAGGAACACCGAUGGCGAAGGCAGCCCCCUGGGCUAACACUGACGCUCAUGCACGAAAGCGUGGGGAGCAAACAGG
rnacentral:rRNA from 1 species